rnacentral:rRNA from 1 species
UACGUAGGGUGCAAGCGUUGUCCGGAAUUAUUGGGCGUAAAGAGCUCGUAGGCGGUUUGUCGCGUCUGCUGUGAAAACACGGGGCUCAACUCCGUGCCUGCAGUCGAUACGGGCAGACUAGAGUUCGGUAGGGGAGACUGGAAUUCCUGGUGUAGCGGUGAAAUGCGCAGAUAUCAGGAGGAACACCGGUGGCGAAGGCGGGUCUCUGGGCCGAAACUGACGCUGAGGAGCGCAAGCGUGGGGAGCGAACAGG